ACGAACGCUGGCGGCGUGCUUAACACAUGCAAGUCGAACGGAAAGGCCCUUCGGGGUACUCGAGUGGCGAACGGGUGAGUAACACGUGGGCAACCUGCCCCUAGCUCUGGGAUAACUCCGGGAAACCGGUGCUAAUACCGGAUACACACUUUCUGAGGCAUCUCAGGUGGUGGAAAGUUUUUCGGCUAGGGAUGGGCCCGCGGCCUAUCAGCUUGUUGGUGGGGUAAUGGCCUACCAAGGCGACGACGGGUAGCCGGCCUGAGAGGGCGACCGGCCACACUGGGACUGAGACACGGCCCAGACUCCUACGGGAGGCAGCAGUGGGGAAUAUUGCGCAAUGGGCGAAAGCCUGACGCAGCGACGCCGCGUGAGGGAUGACGGCCUUCGGGUUGUAAACCUCUUUCAGCUCUGACGAAGCGCAAGUGACGGUAGGAGCAGAAGAAGCACCGGCCAACUACGU
rnacentral:rRNA from 1 species